AGAGAGUGGAUGGAGGUUAGAGAGUGGAUGGAGGUUAGAGAGUGGAUGGAGGAUAGAGAGUGGAUGGAGGAUAGAGAGUGGAUGGAGGAUAGAGAGUGGAUGGAGGUUAGAGAGUGGAUGGAGGAUAGAGAGUGGAUGGAGGAUAGAGAGUGGAUGGAGGAUAGAGAGUGGAUGGAGGUCAGAGAGUGGAUGGAGGACAGAGAGUGGAUGGAGGUUAGAGAGUGGAUGGAGGUUAGAGAGUGGAUGGAGGUUAGAGAGUGGAUGGAGGAUAGAGAGUGGAUGGAGGAUAGAGAGUGGAUGGAGGAUAGAGAUUGGAUGGAGGAUAGAGAGUGGAUGGAGGAUAGAGAGUGGAUGGAGGAUAGA
ensembl:lncRNA